rnacentral:lncRNA from 1 species
AUUGCUGAAGGGCCUCUUGCAGUAGUAACCACCCUACUGUCUGGUCCAGCCACCACACUGGUUUUUGAGGGGUUAAGAUUGCCACGCAACAGUUGUGCUGUGCUUGAGAGAUCAGUGAGCAACUGAUCUCAACGAUCAGCGGCUUAACACAACCAACUCGUAUUUCUCGCCCAGGCAAAGACCACUGAGGGUGUGCAGAACUCUCUCCAACA